rnacentral:misc_RNA from 1 species
UCUCUCUCUCUCUCUCUCUCUCUACUUUUUCUUACAUUAUGUAUCUUUACAGGAAUGUACAUUGGAUUGUCUUGUAUGUGAAACCAUAUCCAUAUAUGAAAACUUUUUUCUCUCCAGCACAUUCCAUGUUUCUAGGAUCACAUUCUAAAUAUUCCCUAAAUAAAUGUCUCAAUCCAUUCUAUGAUUCUAACAACAAUUACAUUCAUACUUUGUGGAGAAACACAUAAGGAAAGUAUCAUAUUAAUGCCAUAAACAGCUAUACAAUUAAAACACGCAAAAAAGGUAUAUCAGAACUUUUUAGUUUUAACCAGUGGACAUUAAAACUACAGCCUAAUUUCCAUUGCCAGCAAACUAUCUUCAACUUGCAACAAACAACAUGUAAAGUUAAUUUCGUAAAGAACACCACAACACUGUUCCUUAUAGUUCAAACAUCUAACAUUGUCAAGAAUUUCAUUUUUCUUGGCACUUUUCCAUGUACCAAGCAUCAGGAAUUAAUGACCAAGCUAAUUUGGCAGAUUACUAAAGUUGCAACACACACAAAAGUCAAAACCAAUUUUCAAUCACUAUAUCAUCACUUACUUUAGGAAAGAAAUCUCAGAAACAACAGCAAUAAGGCAUAGUAGAG